rnacentral:rRNA from 1 species
AGGCUUUACACAUGCAGUCGAGCGGGGAAGAGUAGCUUGCUACUUUACCUAGCGGCGGACGGGUGAGUAAUGCUUAGGAAUCUGCCUAUUAGUGGGGGACAACAUCUCGAAAGGGAUGCUAAUACCGCAUACGUCCUACGGGAGAAAGCAGGGGACCUUCGGGCCUUGCGCUAAUAGAUGAGCCUAAGUCGGAUUAGCUAGUUGGUGGGGUAAAGGCCUACCAAGGCGACGAUCUGUAGCGGGUCUGAGAGGAUGAUCCGCCACACUGGGACUGAGACACGGCCCAGACUCCUACGGGAGGCAGCAGUGGGGAAUAUUGGACAAUGGGGGGAACCCUGAUCCAGCCAUGCCGCGUGUGUGAAGAAGGCCUUUUGGUUGUAAAGCACUUUAAGCGAGGAGGAGGCUACCGAGAUUAAUACUCUUGGAUAGUGGACGUUACUCGCAGAAUAAGCACCGGCUAACUCUGUGCCAGCAGCCGCGGUAAUACAGAGGGUGCAAGCGUUAAUCGGAUUUACUGGGCGUAAAGCGCGCGUAGGUGGCCAAUUAAGUCAAAUGUGAAAUCCCCGAGCUUAACUUGGGAAUUGCAUUCGAUACUGGUUGGCUAGAGUAUGGGAGAGGAUGGUAGAAUUCCAGGUGUAGCGGUGAAAUGCGUAGAGAUCUGGAGGAAUACCGAUGGCGAAGGCAGCCAUCUGGCCUAAUACUGACACUGAGGUGCGAAAGCAUGGGGAGCAAACAGGAUUAGAUACCCUGGUAGUCCAUGCCGUAAACGAUGUCUACUAGCCGUUGGGGCCUUUGAGGCUUUAGUGGCGCAGCUAACGCGAUAAGUAGACCGCCUGGGGAGUACGGUCGCAAGACUAAAACUCAAAUGAAUUGACGGGGGCUCGCACAAGCGGUGG